rnacentral:rRNA from 1 species
UACGUAGGGGGCAAGCGUUGUCCGGAAUCAUUGGGCGUAAAGAGCUUGUAGGCGGUCUGUCGCGUCUGCUGUGAAAAUCCGGGGCUCAACCCCGGACUUGCAGUGGGUACGGGCAGACUAGAGUGUGGUAGGGGAGACUGGAAUUCCUGGUGUAGCGGUGAAAUGCGCAGAUAUCAGGAGGAACACCGAUGGCGAAGGCAGGUCUCUGGGCCACUACUGACGCUGAGAAGCGAAAGCAUGGGGAGCGAACAGG